rnacentral:rRNA from 1 species
GACGAACGCUGGCGGCGUGCCUAAUACAUGCAAGUAGAACGCACAGUUUAUACCGUAGCUUGCUACACCAUAGACUGUGAGUUGCGAACGGGUGAGUAACGCGUAGGUAACCUGCCUGGUAGCGGGGGAUAACUAUUGGAAACGAUAGCUAAUACCGCAUAAUAUUGAUUAUUGCAUGAUAAUUGAUUGAAAGAUGCUAUUGCAUCACUACCAGAUGGACCUUCGUUGUAUUAGCUAGUAGGUGAGGUAACGGCUCACCUAGGCGACGAUACAUAGCCGACCUGAGAGGGUGAUCGGCCACACUGGGACUGAGGCACGGCCCAGACUCCUACGGGAGGCAGCAGUAGGGAAUCUUCGGCAAUGGACGAAAGUCUGACCGAGCAACGCCGCGUGAGUGAAGAAGGUUUUCGGAUCGUAAAGCUCUGUUGUAAGAGAAGAACGGGUGUGAGAGUGGAAAGUUCACACUGUGACGGUAUCUUACCAGAAAGGGACGGCUAACUACGUG